AGUGAACGCUGGCGGUAGGCCUAACACAUGCAAGUCGAACGGCAGCACAGUAAGGGCUGGCUCUUACGGGUGGCGAGUGGCGGACGGGUGAGGAAUACAUCGGAAUCUACUUUUUCGUGGGGGAUAACGUAGGGAAACUUACGCUAAUACCGCAUACGACCUACGGGUGAAAGCAGGGGAUCUUCGGACCUUGCGCGAUUGAAUGAGCCGAUGUCGGAUUAGCUAGUUGGCGGGGUAAAGGCCCACCAAGGCGACGAUCCGUAGCUGGUCUGAGAGGAUGAUCAGCCACACUGGAACUGAGACACGGUCCAGACUCCUACGGGAGGCAGCAGUGGGGAAUAUUGGACAAUGGGCGCAAGCCUGAUCCAGCCAUACCGCGUGGGUGAAGAAGGCCUUCGGGUUGUAAAGCCCUUUUGUUGGGAAAGAAAAGCAGCAGGUUAAUACCCCGCUGUUCUGACGGUACCCAAAGAAUAAGCACCGGCUAACUUCGUG
rnacentral:rRNA from 1 species